rnacentral:lncRNA from 1 species
AAUUAUGUAAACAUAGAUAGUGUUGUACACUUAGUUAAUCAUAAAAUUUAUAUAAUUAAAAAACUUUAAAAAGAAUCCCUAUGUAAACUUGGCACAAUAAGAAGUAUGCCGUGCCAGUUGUUCAAAAUUUUCUUAUUUGCAAGAAUGCCUUGCUGUAGAAUAUAUAUGAUUAGAUAUUGGAUUAAAGAUUCCUCUGUAGCUGCGAUGGCGGUCCACACGGUUCCUAUAGUUUUUUAUUGUCUGCCUUCAUCUGCGGCUCUUGGAUGUUCAAAUCGUG